AUUGUUGGAACCCAACACUUAAGCCUAAAGGACAGGAAGGUGCUGCUGACUCAUGUCAUUAUAAAAGUGAGCCAUGGGCAUUACUGAGUUUGUCUUUUCAUUGCCUAACUACAAAGGACACGAGCCUUUCAACAGCAGAGUGCAAACUGACAGUGAAUUAACCUCUGAGUAGUGGAACCAAGGAAAUGGCCUUUCAGUCCCAAGUCUGCUCCUCAGGGAUGUCUCCUUGAUGUCUAAAGCUCCACUGUCACCCUCUGUGCUAUCAAAGCUAAACAGCACCUUAUGUACUUUUGAAGAGCUUACCAACAUAAGUGUCCUGAC